rnacentral:rRNA from 1 species
CCUACGGGUGGCUGCAGUCGAGAAUCAUUCACAAUGGGGGAAACCCUGAUGGUGCGACGCCGCGUGGGGGAAUGCAGGUCUUCGGAUUGUAAACCCCUGUCAUGUGGGAGCAAAUUAAAAAGAUAGUACCACAAGAGGAAGAGACGGCUAACUCUGUGCCAGCAGCCGCGGUAAUACAGAGGUAUCAAGCGUUGUUCGGAAGCACUGGUCGUAAAGGGUGCGUAGGCGGUUUCGUAAGUCGUGUGUGAAAGUCGCGGGCUCAACCCGCGGAUGGCACAUGAUACUGCGAGACUAGAGUAAUGGAGGGGGAACCGGAAUUCGCGGUGUAGCAGUGAAAUGCGUAGAUAUCGAGAGGAACACUCGUGGCGAAGGCAGGUUCCUGGACAGUAACUGACGCUGAGGCACGAAGGCCAGGGGAGCGAAAGGGAUUAGAUACCCUUGUAGUC